UGUUCUUAUUCGCUGACAUUUGUUUUCCAAUUGCGUGAAAUUUGGUCAUUUCCUUAGUGUUUCGCUGACCGACCUGUGCUGGUAUUGUGAUUAAGAGCUAAUACACAUUUUUCGGACAAUUCUGCUGUGCUGCGUUCCUGCUCCGCCUGUAUAUUGCUCCGCCGUAUUUUAUAGUGUUGCGUUCCUGUUGCGCCUUUGCGUUAGUGUGUGCGUUGUGAUUUAGACACGUUGAAAUUUUUUGUAUGCUUCUGUUGUGCUGCGUUCCUGCUCCACCCGUGUAUUAGAUUGCUGCGUUCCUGUUAACAUACAUAUCGUCGCUUAAAGUACAAAACCGCG
rnacentral:lncRNA from 1 species